UAAAUUAAAUGCAAUUAAACUAAAGCACUGGGGUGCAGAACCAAAAUUGGUGCGUCCAAAUGAUUCUGGGCACCGAAGGCUCCCUCGUUCUCAAUGUUCGUUGAUCGAUGAAGACGGAGCUCAAUGGGAAAUCACUUGAGCAAACAGAAGAUUGAAGUUGAAGAAGAUUGAUAAUGAAGCUUGAAGUUGCAGAAUAUUGAGAAUGAAGCUUGAGGUUGUAUUAUGUUGAGAAUGAAGCUUCAAGCGAAGAUGUUAUAUAAAGGAUGAGAUGUAACCAACUCGGGCAGGCUCUGGGAAAACAGCCUGGUGUAUGAUGCAUCCAACGUUAGCAGAUGGUAAAAUUGGUAGUUAAAUGAAACAGUUUAGCUAAGGCUCAAAAAGUAUGGGUGUUUGGACUUGGUGUAAUAGAAAUCAAUGACCAUGCUGCCAGCUCUGAUGAUGAAGGGAUUGUGGGUUUGUGCCAUGCCUUCUUUGAUAAGUGGGUUGCAGCUUGGUAUGUGGAAUGAUGUUGUUUGGUGAUUGAUUUUGAUGCCCUGUUAUUGUUGUUGUGCUGCUGCAAUGUUGUUGGGCAUUGCUGCUGCAACAUUUUUACAAGGACUGCCACAUGUUAGGGACAUUGAACCAAGGCUUCAACCAAGAUCACCAUGAAAUUCCUAUGGCCAUGACCAAAUUGCAAAAACAAGCUUUGCUUGGAAAGGAAACUAACUUGGAAGAAAAAUGAUGAAGUGAGAAGAAUGAAGGAUGAUGUUAUGAAGUUUAGGAUCUUUAGAAAAAGUGUGUUGACUUUGGUCAAAGUUGACCAAAAGGUCAACUAUUGACCAAAGUCAACUUUUGUCAAAGUUGUAUUUUUCUAUUUUCUUUUGUAAAGUGAUCUAUGUAUGAAUGAAACUUUGUAUAAAAUGAAUUUUGACUGUAA